rnacentral:lncRNA from 1 species
UCUCUCUUUAUAUAUAUAUAUAUGAAGAAAUGUAUAGUUACCCUACACAAGCUUAUAGAAAAUAAACUUUUCUUUGAUGCUAGUAGAAAAUUUUAAAAAUACUCAAAAAAAAAUUAUAUUCUAAACUUAAUUUUUUAUUAGAUUUUCUUAAUACUUGAUCCUUUGAUAUCUCACAAACUCUCUGAUUUAUACAUCAAUUUUUCUUUUAAAAAUAUA